UAGGAACUGACUUGCACUGGUUACACUGAAAGUGCCAAGGAGUUGUAGUGUCCACUGGAUUGUUUGUAUUGAAGCAGUUUGGUGUUUACAGAGGGAUAAUAACUCCUGUCAGCAGCAAGGUCCCGACUGAAGUGGCAGCUGCAGUUGUUCCUGUGGUGUGGGCCAGUGGAAUUCCAAGAAAAUGGACAAGGACAGAACCUGCAGAAGAGCCCAGGCCUGAGCUGGCUGAGUGUUGGUGUGACCCAGAGUGGGUGUCCCUGCCCUCGGGCCAGUCCCCAGAGCUGCCUUUGGCAUCCCCUGCUGAAGGGUGGGAGCUGCCCAGAGCCAGCAGCAUCCAGCUGGAGGAUCCAGGAGGAUGCAGCUCUGCUUUGCUGGGAGCUUGUCCAGGAGAUGGAAUUCCAGUGCUACAGUCUGGGUGGGUC